ensembl:lncRNA
AGAAAAUAGUCAGUAGCGUGUCAGUGAUGACACAGUUUUCCUUGUUGAAUAACAGCAUGUUUUAAUCCCUCUUAGAUUGAGUUGUUACUCUAGAAACGAUAAGAUAUUAUGAUGAGCGCGUUAAAAUAAACCUGCGAUUAAUGGAAAAUUCAUCAACACCUUCUGACCAAUCAGAUUCAAGAAUUCCACUGCGCUAUAACAAAGUUAUUAUACAGUACAGUAUGACAUACUUAUGCACGUAGUUAUACACACAGUUUCUCAUAAAUGACCGGAUUUCACCAAUUUCGGACUUAAAAUGGAUAAAUAUCUAUUUAUAAGUAUUUAUUAUACCAUUCAUACCAUCAUUAUUUCCAGGUAAUUGUUUCAGUGUGACUGUCAGUCAGUCAGUAUGUUUACAUGGACAACAAUAAUCCGAUAUUAACCCGAUUAAGACGAUACUCUGAUUAAGAAACUAGCAUGUAAACAGCUAUUUUUUAUAACCUUAAUCUGACUAAAGUCGUACUCGAAGUAAACACAAAUGGAAUUAAGACGUGUGGAGUACUCCUGUUUUAGUCGCAUUAUCGACGUGUAUUACAGACACGUACACUCCUUAAUCACACUAUUAACGUCGUGUGGGAGUUUUCACCGCAUUCUGUGACAGGACACGUACACACACGGCAGCGCUCAACCGUUUAACGGCAAACGAGAGAGCACGGCUGCGUCCGAUCGUCUAUUAGCACGUACAGCAUGACGAAUAAUUAACCGCACUUGAAGUAUCCGUAAAAAUUCAAAAUAAAACCACACAAAACUGUAUACGGGACCAUAACGAAGACGAACUGUAUGUCGACAGGUGAAAUUCUGGAGGGAACGUCGGACGGCGUGGCGCGGUGACGUAAUGACGUGUGCCGUUAAUCGCUCUAUGUUCUAUAACGUGUAAAACGGGAACAUGAAAGGAGUAUUCUAAAAGCGACUCAUGUAAACACCUCAAUCACAAUAUUGUCUUAUUGAGAAUAAGGUCAAUAAUUAGAUUAUCGCUGUUCAUGUAAACGUAGUCAGUGAUUACAAAAGCUUUCGGAUUCCUUAAGAAAACGGAGGAAAUCUAUUACAUGAAGUAUGGCAUGAUUUAUGCAAUAUGAAUAUUUAUCAGUGUGAUCCGCCUAACACGAUGAAGUGACAGUGAAGUGCUUUCAGUGAUAAAUAAUGCACGCAACUUUGGAGAGUACAGACUAUUUGGCUGAGAUGUUUAUUUUAUGCUUUCUAAAAGGACAGACUUCUUCUAUAUCUGAAAUAGCAGUUGUUUCAUACAAUACAAGAUUUCUCCUUGGGCUCGAGUGUGAACAUCCUGAUAGAGUUUCAAGGGAUCCGGAAAAAGGUUUCAAAGCGGUAGUUAUAGAAAUGAUUAAUAUCUUAUAAUAAAACUAAUAUACCUCACUAUACCUUAAAAAUAUCCAUUACUGAAUAUAUUUGUGAAUGGACAGUCUUGAAUUGCAAUUAUUGUACAAGCUUACUAUUUUUUGACAACGUAGGGUCGCUGGAACGUCACAAAGUUGGGAAAAAAAAUCCUCUGCAACGAGAGUUCUCAAAGAUGUAGAGAAGCCAAGUCACCACUUUUAAACCUCAUCGCCGGAGGCCUUCCACAGCUUGAUUCUGCGUUUCACACCAAAAAAAAUAAAUGUGUUCCCUUUUAUGCGAAUGUUGUGCAGGUACUAUAACUUAUAAAAUGUCACUGAAUCAUUUUUUAUAAGGAGGUUAUGAUUUAGUGGCUGAUACGGCACACACUGAAACGUCAUGUAUAAAACUGUUUGGGGUUACUCGUUCUUGCAGGCUGUACCUUGUAGCAAUGCAUUACAAUGAGAAUGCUAAUCGAGAACAAGCCGAAACCUCGGCAGGAUAAGAUUUGUUUGAGACGACACCGGUUUUGAAUGUUUGUGCUGUUGUGAGGGAUUCUAUUCAGGGGGGUGAAUCAUUUUGAGACUGGAGAAAUCAUUACAAGUUGCAUUUUCAGUUGAAUUUUGUGGAAACCACUUGAAGCAUUCGUCGUGUUGAACUACUUCAAUUGCUUGUGUUUGAUUUGUUCAUCGCAAACAGCUGAAAAUCAAUCUGAUUUGCAAUGGGGGUUGAAUCAUUUUGAUUGCACCUGUAUAUACACAAUCAAGUGAUUGUUACUGUGAUAUUUUUUCUUUGGCAGACUAUGUGGAUCCUCCUGAGGCUGGUCUUCGAGGAGGUGUUUGUGGACCCCGAUCCAUUUAUUGAACAGGUACUGACAAUCCCCAAUCCCACACCCCUUUGUUCGGAGUUGGAGAGACCCACAAAGGAGGAAACAAUUGCUCGCCGUGUCUUCCGAUUCAAUCAAGGGGUGGUAGAAAGCCGACACGGCCACCAGACUGAUCCGGAAACUACGUAUCCCGGGAGACGCGUAUCCCGUCGUGUACAACACACGAGGGGAUACGCCGUAGCCCCAGCACCAGCUCACAAAGCUGUCAUAACCAAGAUGACCGUAUUGUCUACAAAUUCAUUUUAGGAUUUUCCAUGUUUAGAAAUAAAUUUUCCUGUCGUACAAAAUUAUUUUUUUUGGAAUGUCUUUAUGAUGUCAUUCUGUAAAAUGUAGCUUCGUUAUAGCUAUAUUAAUUUGCUAAUUUUAAGUUUUUAUCAAGUAAAAAACAAUUACUCCUCGAUGAUUCUGUGCCUCAAAAGGGCCAUAGUCAGUUCUAUAGAUGCUGUGUAUGUUUCGAAGUGUGUAUGGAUUAAGACAAUUGGGUUCGAAGCCGGAAUGGUGCAUCAUGCAUGUUGGCGGUACCGGAAUCUCUUUCAUUCGUCUUAGAACCUCGGAAGGAAAAUCCGGUAUGUGCUAGUGUCACCGAUUGCACUUAGGUUGCAAUAUAAUGUUUUAAUUAUUAAUAACUUAUUAUACUAUCUGUCCUACUUCAUGGCAGCAGAGGAUUUCAGCUUCGCUUGGCAUUCUGGUACAGUUCCCACAUGUGCACCUCAUUGAACUAGAAAUAUCCACAUCGGUUUGUUAUACACUCGUCACAGCCGACGUAGAGGAAUCGCACACUGAUAACGUCUCAUCAGACGUGCUCACAAGUCAAGUCCCAAGUCUUCGUUCUAUUUUUAGCAGUAGUUCCUUCAGCAAGUUAUUGCAAUUAAGCGUAAAUCAGUUUUGAAAUAUUCAAACUGAUAUCACUUCCGCAGAAUGUCUUGUUCGAGGAUUCAAAAUGGUCCAAUAAAGCAAACAAGGUUUUACUUAAAUCGUUCAUUUCAUUCAAAAUGAAAUCUGUACUUUCAGACUAAAUUACAUUUGAUCCAAACGCUCUCCCGAUAAUUACGAGAAAACAGAACAUUCAUAGAAACUUCAGGAAAGAUAUGACUUUUUUGGUCAUUUAGUGCAAAAUGCCAAAGUUCUAUGAAUUUUGAGCUAAUUGAGUUGCCGUAGUUUGCUGCAGUUCUCAAGCAAUGAUGGGUAAGGUAAUCUUCAGUGAGUGCCAAUGGUAACAAAACCCCCCUUUCGAUAAGGAAAACGGCUUCCGGCGCAGCACCGGAUGGAACCGAGUUGGCUGAGACGAAACGUGGAAGCGAUCGCGCAUAGAGUGUAUUUAACUUUCGUAAACUUGGAUAUUAUAUGCAAAUGGUAGAUUACAUUUAAAAGACAUGGAAACUUUUGUAUUGCUUGAAAAUGGACGGCAAGCAAGCCCCUGCCAGCUGCGUAACGCCGCAGCUUCCUUUUAGAUUAAC